rnacentral:lncRNA from 1 species
GGGUUUUAUUCUCCUUUUGACUAUUGCAACUGAGGAUUAAGGUCUAGAAGAACCUGAAGAAAGAAAUUUUUCUGGUGGCAAUUUUUCUUUUUUCCUUGAAACUUUUUUUCCUUUUUAAAUUUUGGGCUUUUUGGUUUUUUUUUUUACUGAUUUUUCUUUUUUACGUUUUUCCUUUCCCUAAUUGGAUUAUAAUUGUUACACUGCCAACUGGAUUAAAAGAGUGGGAAGAUUCCGAGUUAUUCAAAUGAGUAAGAAAGUUCUACCUUCUGGCGCAUCAACUUCUGCUCCUGCCUCCCCAUCAAUUGGAGGACGACUUUCAACAAUGGCGAAGCAAGAUAAAGGACAAACGGAUCUAACGACGGUUAUGCAAGGAAUUCAAGAACUUAAAAUGAGUAUUGAACAAAGGAUGGGGAGUAUUGAACAAAAAAUUGAAAAUAUCCAACAGAUGAUGGCGAAGUAUGACGAGAAACUACAAAAAAUGGAAGAGAAAGACAAUCAAAGAGAUGAGAAAUUGCAAAAAUUAGAAGAGAAAGACAAUCAAAGAGAUGAGAAAAUUGGAAAUAUUGAUGACAGAGUGACAACGCUUGAACAAAACAAGAAUGAGAUGGUGAAGUGGGAGAUGGACAGAUCAGAAUAUUACCUCAGAUUUCAAAAUAUAGAGGAAGAAAAAGGACAAGAUCUUGCUGCAGUAAUGAUAGAAAUCUUGGCUGGAGCUUUGGAAAUAACAGAGGAAAAAAUGAUGGAUGGAAUAGAUGAGAUAUACCGAGUUUUUACAAGAUAUGCAUCGAGGAAUAAGUUACCAAGAGAAGUUCAUGUUAGAUUUACUAAAAAAUCUAUCAGAACGCAGAUAUUACAAGCGGCAAGAGAGAAGACAUUGAAAUAUGGAGAUAAAGAGAUUGGGGUUUUAAAACAAGUACCCAGAAAAAUUAGAGAGAUGAGGAGAGAAUAUCGUUUCCUGACUAAAGUAUUAUUGGAAAAGGAGGUGAAUUACAGAUGGUUGAUUCCAGAAGGAUUAAUGGUUACAUGGAAAGAACAGAG